rnacentral:rRNA from 1 species
AGAGUUUGAUUCUGGCUCAUGAUGAACGCUGGCGGCGUGCUUAACACAUGCAAGUCGAACGGGGUUAUCAUUUUUGAAGCGAUUAGCUUGCUAAGAGUGGAAAAGUUGAUAACUUAGUGGCGGACGGGUGAGUAACGCGUGGGUAACCUGCCUUACACAGGGGGAUAACACUUACAAAUAGGUGCUAAUACCGCAUAAGCGCACAGUCCCGCAUGGGACAGAGUGAAAAACAUUAGUGGUGUAAGAUGGACCCGCGUCUGAUUAGCUUGUUGGCGGGGUAACGGCCCACCAAGGCGACGAUCAGUAGCCGGCCUGAGAGGGUGGACGGCCACAUUGGGACUGAUACACGGCCCAAACUCCUACGGCCACCCCCACUGGGGGAUAUUGGACAAUGGGGGAAACCCUGAUCCAGCGACGCCGCGUGAGUGAAGAAGUAUUUCGGUAUGUAAAGCUCUAUCAGCAGGGAAAAAAGAAAUGACGGUACCUGAGUAAGAAGCCCCGGCUA